GCUCGCUCACCUCCUCAGAGAGGCCUCCUGACCCCUGACACGGCCUUGCCCUUCACCUCUAUCGUCCUUUAGAACAGCCCCCACCUCCCGCACAUCAUGCAGUUGCAGGUUCAAUGGCUACUGCUUGUCCUCCAGACUCCUCUCCACAAGCAAACAGCUCUCUCCUUGCUUUGAUUUUCAACGAUUUAAGUUGAAAAAAAUUCAAAACAAAUGAAAUGCACUUAAGAGAAAGCCUUGAGGAGUUCAGCAGGCCACCCGAAUUGAAGGGACUCCUUUGGAGGUCUUUGUUGUUAUCAAUUAUUUAUUGAGCCCUGAUGUGUUCCUGGCGCCACCAAGACUGACAGGAGACAGGGUCCCUGCCCUGGGGCAUCCCAACGAAGAAGGGAGAGUUUGUGAAGCUUAAAAAUGUCCCAGAUGGUAAGACAGUUACACAUCGUA
rnacentral:lncRNA from 1 species